rnacentral:rRNA from 1 species
GAUGAACGCUGGCGGCGUGCCUAAUACAUGCAAGUCGAGCGAACGGACGAGAAGCUUGCUUCUCUGAUGUUAGCGGCGGACGGGUGAGUAACACGUGGAUAACCUACCUAUAAGACUGGGAUAACUUCGGGAAACCGGAGCUAAUACCGGAUAAUAUUUUGAACCGCAUGGUUCAAAAGUGAAAGACGGUCUUGCUGUCACUUAUAGAUGGAUCCGCGCUGCAUUAGCUAGUUGGUAAGGUAACGGCUUACCAAGGCAACGAUGCAUAGCCGACCUGAGAGGGUGAUCGGCCACACUGGAACUGAGACACGGUCCAGACUCCUACGGGAGGCAGCAGUAGGGAAUCUUCCGCAAUGUGCGAAAGCCUGACGGAGCAACGCCGCGUGAGUGAUGAAGGUCUUCGGAUCGUAAAACUCUGUUAUUAGGGAAGAACAUAUGUGUAAGUAACUGUGCACAUCUUGACGGUACCUAAUCAAAAAGCCACGGCUAACUACGUG